GAUGAAGAACGCAGCGAAAUGCGAUACGUAAUGUGAAUUGCAAAUUCAGUGAAUCAUCGAAUCUUUGAACGCACAUUGCGCCCGCCAGCAUUCUGGCGGGCAUGCCUGUUCGAGCGUCAUUUCAACCCUCGAGCUCCCCUUGGGGAGCCCGGCGUUGGGGACCGGCCUCUACCGCCGACCCCGAAAUACAGUGGCGGCCCCGUCACGGCGACCUCUGCGUAGUAACUCAACCUCGCACCGGAAACCCGACGUGGCCACGCCGUAAAACACCCCACUUCUGAACGUUGACCUCGGAUCAGGUAGGAAUACCCGCUGAACUUAAGCAUAUCAAUAAGCGGAGGA
rnacentral:misc_RNA from 1 species